UACGGAGGGUGCAAGCGUUAUCCGGAUUCACUGGGUUUAAAGGGUGUGUAGGCGGGCUGUUAAGUCAGUGGUGAAAUCUCCGGGCUCAACCCGGAAACUGCCAUUGAUACUAAUUGUCUUGAAUUUUGUUGAGGUAGGCGGAAUAUGUCAUGUAGCGGUGAAAUGCGUAGAUAUACGGAGGAACACCAGAGGCGAAGGCGGAUCGCUGGGCCAACACUGACGCUGAGACGCGAAAGCUAGGGUAGCAAACGGG
rnacentral:rRNA from 1 species